AUACUCUGGUUUCUCUUCAGAUCGUAUAAAUCUUUCGCCUUUUACUAAAGAUUUCCGUGGAGAGGAACAUUUAUGAGUUUGUAACCAAUUUUUUGAGGCUCUGCUUCGGCAGAGCU
ensembl:snRNA U5 U5 spliceosomal RNA